AUGGACUCUCUGAGUGUACAGAACAGGUCUCAUACUUGUCCCAUCGACGGGUGGGGAAUCUGGGGUAUGUAUCCACCAGCUCCCUGCCCUUCCUUCAAGGGCUGCUCCUGGGGUGUGAAUCCCCCUGGCAUUCCAUGUGGGCCAGAUAGUUCCCUCAUGAAGAGAUGCAGAAGCCGGAGGCAUUCGUGCCAGGACAGGAGGCAGCAGCAGCCUGUUACGGGCUGUUCUCACUUGACUCCAGGAGAGAGGAGAUGUAUGCAGGCUUUGUGCCUGGGCCCGAGACUCUGCUGCUAUGACUCCCUGGACUCAUCGAGUUUGCUCUUGCCGUACCUCCCCUCGCCCAGUCCCCCAGUAGCUCUGGGCCCCUGGUCCAGGGGAGAAGGAGAAAGCAGGACAGGACCUGCAUAGCAGCAUGGUGGGAAGAUCCUAAUCUACAGUCCACCGGGCUGGGAGUGCUGCAGAUGAGUUGAGAGAAGCUCCACUCUUCCAAGAUUGUUACUUUCAUCACUCUAUCACCUGGAAUUUAUCUGAAUCUGGAUCAAUUAGGUGUCAAGAUUGAAUCCACCUCGUCCUUAAGACCUAACAGGUUUUCAAAUACGUGCUCUAGUAGACAAGAGGCUCCUUGCAGAUAGCACAGGAAAUGAU
rnacentral:lncRNA from 10 species